AGUAACACGUGAGUAACGUACCUCGGAGUGGGGGAUAACUACCCGAAAGGGUGGCUAAUACCGCAUGAGACCACAACGCCUUCGGGCGAAGGGGUCAAAGUCUUCGGACGCUCUGAGAUCGGCUCGCGGGCCAUUAGGUAGUUGGUGAGGUAAUGGCUCACCAAGCCUAUGAUGGCUAGCUGGUCUGAGAGGAUGAUCAGCCACACUGGGACUGAGACACGGCCCAG
rnacentral:rRNA from 1 species